GAUGAACGCUGGCGGCGUGCCUAAUACAUGCAAGUCGAGCGAACAGACGAGGAGCUUGCUCCUCUGACGUUAGCGGCGGACGGGUGAGUAACACGUGGAUAACCUACCUAUAAGACUGGGAUAACUUCGGGAAACCGGAGCUAAUACCGGAUAAUAUAUUGAACCGCAUGGUUCAAUAGUGAAAGACGGUUUUGCUGUCACUUAUAGAUGGAUCCGCGCCGCAUUAGCUAGUUGGUAAGGUAACGGCUUACCAAGGCAACGAUGCGUAGCCGACCUGAGAGGGUGAUCGGCCACACUGGAACUGAGACACGGUCCAGACGCCUACGGGAGGCAGCAGUAGGGAAUCUUCCGCAAUGGGCGAAAGCCUGACGGAGCAACGCCGCGUGAGAGAUGAAGGUCUUCGGAUCGUAAUACUCUGUUAUUAGUGAAGAACAAAUGUGUAAGUAACUAUGCACGUCUUGACGGUACCUAGUCAGAAAGCCACGACUAACUACGUG
rnacentral:rRNA from 1 species